UCAACAGUUUACUGAGAGAAAAAUGCCACACGUCAGAAGGAGAACCACCUCCCGUGGGCUAGUUCCUGCAUGGAACAACAUCAUGUCGCGUUGUCACGCUACCUCAAGGGGAGGGCAGAGGAGGGCAGUGAAGCCAUUUAUUUUGGGCUCACCCCUAAUGAGCUGCCCAUUCCCUGCAUCCUGGUCGAGGAAGGACUGGAUCACCUCCUUCAUGGAGCGCAGUAGCAGCCUCCCCCUUCGGCGUCCAGAGGCCACUAGCCAACAACGGUUGUCCAGCUUCAAUCAAAACAAUGUCAACUUGUUCUACCAAAAUUGAAAGACGGUGCUGGACCGGCACCAGUUCCAGGCCAAGGAUAUUUGGAACAUUAAUGAAACCGGGGUCACCACUGUCCAGGUGCCAGACCGUGUCGUCGCCCAGAUGGGGCAGAAGCAGGUCGGGUCAGUGACCUCAGCGGAGAGGUCCUUGAAUGCAAUGCGCAGGGCGACCUUGUUCCGCCAUUCUUUAUCUUCCCCCGUAAGCGGUUCGAAGACCACUUCCUGAGGGGUGGACCCGUUGGCUGUGCUGGCACCGCCAACCCAACUGGCUGGAGGAAGGAGCCAGACUUCCUCCUGUACCUGGCCCACUUCACCAGUCAAACCCGUGUCCAAGGAGUCGAAGCUGCUCCGCCUGCUGGACAAUCACCCGUCCCACCUGUCAAUUGCAGCAAUCGAUUACUGCAGAGCCAACGGCAUAGUGCUGCUGUCA